GUAAAAUGGGGAGGGUAAAAAGUCUUUCAUGAAAAAUUACUACCGGACCAGUACCGAAGACGAUGUAGGAGUCGCACAGCUGGAGGACGGGAUGCGUGACGCUCCUGUUGCUAAGCGAUUACCGUUUGUUCUUACGAACGGCACCGUGUACGGACAUGCCCGAGUCUCAGUUCCAGCUAAACAAACCGAUUACUGUAAUUAAUUCAGAUGGAAUAUAUGUGGUUAAGCUUGUUUACCACUAAAGUCAACAAAACAACUUCCUGCAUUCGUUGUUCAACAAACGAAAAGGACCUGAACACAAAAUGUGUGAUCGAGAUGGAGGGGAACCAAACGUUCCUGUAUCCUGCAAGCGG
ensembl:lncRNA